UACGGAGGGUGCAAGCGUUAAUCGGAAUUACUGGGCGUAAAGCGUGCGCAGGCGGUUUGUUAAGUCCGUUGUGAAAGCCCCGAGCUCAACUUGGGAAUUGCAGUGGAUACUGGCAGGCUGGAGUACGGUAGAGGAAGGUGGUAUUCCCGGUGUAGCAGUGAAAUGCGUAGAUAUCGGGAGGAACACCAGUGGCGAAGGCGGCCUUCUGGACCAGUACUGACGCUCAUGCACGAAAGCGUGGGGAGCAAACAGG
rnacentral:rRNA from 1 species